AUUGAACGCUGGCGGCAUGCCUUACACAUGCAAGUCGAACGGCAGCACGGGCUUUGGCCUCUCGUCGCGUGGGGCACGGGUGUGUGAUAUAUAUCAACAUACGUACUUGAGUGGGGGAGAGCGCGGAGAGAGGGAGAUUUAUACCACACACGCUCAACGGAUAAGCGGGGGAGCUCCUGAGCUCUCGCUCUUUGGGGUUGGCCGAUGGCGGAUUAGCUAGUUGGUGGGGUAAAGGCCUACCAAGGCGACGAUCAGUAGCUGGUCUGAGAGGACGACCAGCCACACUGGGACUGAGACACGGCCCAGACUCCUACGGGAGGCAGCAGUGGGGAAUUUUGGACAAUGGGCGAAAGCCUGAUCCAGCAAUGCCGCGUGUGUGAAGAAGGCCUUCGGGUUGUAAAGCACUUUUGUCGGGAAAGAAAAGCAUUGCGCUAAUACGGUGGUGGGAUGACGGUACCCGAAGAAUAAGCACCGGCUAACUACGUG
rnacentral:rRNA from 1 species